UACAGAGGGGGCAAGCGUUGUUCGGAAUUACUGGGCGUAAAGCGCACGUAGGCGGCUUGUUAAGUCAGGGGUGAAAUCCUGGAGCUCAACUCCAGAACUGCCUUUGAUACUGGCGAGCUUGAGUUCGGGAGAGGUGAGUGGAACUGCGAGUGUAGAGGUGAAAUUCGUAGAUAUUCGCAAGAACACCAGUGGCGAAGGCGGCUCACUGGCCCGAUACUGACGCUGAGGUGCGAAAGCGUGGGGAGCAAACAGG
rnacentral:rRNA from 1 species